CUUUGGAAGAACAGCCAAUGCUCUUAACUCUGUGGAACGAUACAGAGAAGAUUAGCAUGGUCCCUGCGCAAUACACUUUCUUAAUGUGUUUGUUUCCUGAUAUAU